ensembl:lncRNA
GGCAAGAAAAAGCCAAUCAAAUAUUACAUAUUUACUUCAGGGGCUGACAGCCAAAAUGCUGUGCUCAGUUGCUUAGUUGUGUCCAGCUCUUUGUGAUCUCAUCGACUAUAGCCUGCCUGGCUCCGCUGUCCAUGGGAUUCUCCAGGCAAGAAUAUUGGAGUGAGUUGCCGUUUUCUCCUACAGGGGAUCUUCCUGACCCAGGGAUCGAACCCACAUCUCCUGUGCCUCCUGCACUGGUAGGUGGAUUCUGUGACACCCAAAGAGCAGGGCCUAAUUGUAGGAAAGCUGUAUCAUUCAGCCAAGAAAAGGGAUAAACUACCUGGACAUUAUCCAAGAUUCAUGAAAAUAUCUUUAAUUUCAAGAACAGGGAUUGAAGGGCUGCUUCCAGCGUACCCUCCUCCACGAGAACGUUUAAGUCUGAAGGCUAUUACCUGCAAUCACAAAAUCUGUGCCACAGAGCAGCACCUGCCAGGAGUUAUAAAGGUCCUUAUUAUACUAAUGCUGAGUCACUGGAUAAGGAACCACAAAAUCUAAGGUUAGAUAUGAAAAAUGUAGGUUCUAGCUUACAACAAGUAUGUUUUCAUUUGGGGAUACUACACAUUUCUUCAUAGUGGAGUUAUGUUAACGAAAAGCCAUUUCACAGAGCUGAAUUAUCCUUCUUUGCACAUUUGUAACGUUCUUAGUCAAACGAGGAUCAGGGAAAUAAAUUUAUGGAUCACUUAACCUUUUGCCCAAGGAACAAAUCCAACUUAUAUGAAGUAACAAACUGCCUACUACUUGGAAUCAGAGUUCCCCAAGGCCGGAAAAGUGACAGUCACCUAUGUCCCAUCGCAGAGGCACAGACACUGAAGCUCAUUCCUCACCUGGAGACUCUUGAUCUGGCCUCACUCAUAAAAUCUGGCUGUACUCAACAUCAGAAGGUAUGGCAAAUGCAUCUUUUGUAGAUGGUUCUGAUUUCUACAUUACAUUCCAAAGCUUGCCAAAUAUGCUGUAAAUGUGAGGUUCCAGCUUCCUGUUCAAAUAAUAAAAUCUCUUGGGCAUUCUGAAAAUAUUUUACUCAAAAUGGAAAAUGUUGGCAGAGAAGAAGCAACCAUUUUUGAGAAUUAUGCCUUCCUGUAUCUCACACUCUAUGUAUGAAGAACUUGCCCACAUGAAAAGGCAUCACUGCUCUUUCAUACUUGGAAUAACUUUCCCAACACAAAAGUACCCCUUGAUUUUGCUGUUACCAAAGAUUUGAUGUGAUGUAGGAACUGUUGAAAAUUUAGCUUUGGUAUCCAUUUUCUUAAUAGUAACUGGGAAUUUAAAACUAUUUAGAAAUGACACCUGCUUUGUGACUUCCUUUGAACCAUCCCCUGAACACACAGUAUUCUUUAAACCAUGUGGUAAUCAAUACCUUGAAGGGUACUGCUUUUCAGAAUUGUUGUCACUAAGCAUAGCAAUUUUCUUGGAAAAAAAAAAGUGCCAUUCUGCUUUCCCUUGCAAAGAGAAAAAGGGGUUUGACAGACACAGCAGUACCAAUAAUUCCCUUAGGAUCCGGAGGAAGUGCAUAGUGAUAAUCCAUCCCAGAGGAUGCAGUGGCAAACAGGACCCUUUACCCCUUGUUUACUGAAACUGCCUUUUAUAAAUUUUUCUCUGGAGAGUAAGAACCAAUUAUAUGAAUGUAGAUGUGGAAGCGAUAACUGAUUUCACAUCAUGGAAAACAUCCACUGAAAAUGGUGAUGCAAACAGUAGUGACCACAUUCAACUGCUGCGGCCUGAACAUAUUGCGGUGUUUAUCAUGUCCAUUCUGUGAUUUCAAGUCACAACUGCCAUGAAAAAAUGUUUUGGGGAUCCUGAGAGCCUCCCAGUCAUCUCAAGUUGAAGGUGUGCUCUGUUUAAAUUUCCUUACAAGCUGAUGUAUCUCUACUUUAGAAAUAAAUCAAACAAUGUAUGUGCCAGUAAAUUACCUUUGGAAACGGACUCUAAUAGGGUUUGUACUUNNNNNNNNNNNNNNNNNNNNNNNNNNNNNNNNNNNNNNNNNNNNNNNNNNNNNNNNNNNNNNNNNNNNNNNNNNNNNNNNNNNNNNNNNNNNNNNNNNNUUUUUUAUUAAAAAAUAAAAUAGAAGAACCUUGGGUCCCAUUCUGUUGCUUGUUUUCUGCAUAUUAAAACUCUCAUCAUCAACAGUUCUUGAACAAUAAAGCAGGAGCAAUCACACAGGACUACAUAAAAUGCAUUUCAGUAGGGUUCAAUAGAACCAU